UACGGAGGGGGCAAGCGUUAUUCGGAAUUAUUGGGCGUAAAGGGCGCGUAGGCGGCUAGAUGUGUCAAAGGUGAAAUCCCUCGGCUCAACUGAGGAACUGCCUUUGAAACUGUCUGGCUUGAGGCCGGGAGAGGGUAGCGGAAUUCCCAGUGUAGCGGUGAAAUGCGUAGAUAUUGGGAGGAACACCGGUGGCGAAGGCGGCAUCCUGGACCGGCAUUGACGCUGAGGAGCGAAAGCCAGGGGAGCAAACGGG
rnacentral:rRNA from 1 species